rnacentral:rRNA from 1 species
UACGGAGGGGGCAAGCGUUGUCCGGAUUUACUGGGCGUAAAGAGCGCGCAGGCGGUCGUUCAAGUCGAGUGUGAAAGCCCCCGGCUCAACUGGGGAGGGUCACUCGAUACUGAUCGACUCGAAGGCAGGAGAGGGAAGUGGAAUUCCCGGUGUAGUGGUGAAAUGCGUAGAUAUCGGGAGGAACACCAGUGGCGAAGGCGACUUCCUGGCCUGUUCUUGACGCUGAGGCGCGAAAGCUAGGGGAGCAAACGGG